rnacentral:lncRNA from 1 species
UUCGGCUUAGGGAUGAGUUGACCGAGUCCUUUCAUUUAAGUAAUUUCUUAUGCAUUAAACAUUUAUACUAAUUAUUUCAAAUUGCUUUUUAUUAAUAAUCCAUGUUUUUUUUUCACAUGCGACUAAGGUGGAAAAGAGUCAGUCGGUGCUUCAGGAGUCCAUCUCCCAGGUUCCCUCGGACACUCUGAUCGAGUUUAUGGAUCCCGUAAAGAUGCAGGGUUACAUAUCCUGACAGAGACAUUGGACCAGACUUUCGGUCGAUGGCUAAGGACAUAUUGUCGAGGGAUGGGAAAUGCUAGGCGGCAGGAGAGUGGAGCCUCGUCAUCCUCGUAGUCAAAGGGGCAGGUUAUGGCUUUGACGCAGGAAGUCACUAGCCUGAGGAGUGAGCUAGCAUCAUACAAGUCUCAAAUGUCAAUGCUUGUACAAACCCUCAAUUCCUCCGGAAUACGUCUCCCCAGUUUUUCUGCACCAUUGUCCUCAGAGCCCUUCCACACUGAGCAUGCACAUCAAUCAAGC